CCCACAAAAACCCACUUCUUCAAAUCCCAAAAAUCAAAUGAAGAACUCGCUUCAUACUCCAAAACUUUGCCAAAAGUUGCAAUCUUUAACACUCAAAAACAAUACCCCACUUCAAAAACUCCUCAAGAAAAACUGCAAGUCAGUACGAUUGAUGGUCUUUGUAAGGAUGACUUAUUGGAGAAGCAAAAGAGCUUUUUCCGCAAAUGAAGGGUAGAGGGAUUUGUCCUGAUGUGGUCGUGUAAAGCUCUCUGAUGCAUUAUUUGUGUUCUAUGGAUGAGCGGGAGGAUAAAGGUUUGUUUGUUGAGAUGAUGGAUUAAGGUGUGUGGCCUAAUGUGGUGACAUUCAAUGUGCUGGCAGAUAUGCUUUGCAAGCCCAUGAAGAUGAAAGAAGUACAUGAAUUGUUUGAACUUAUGGUUCAGAGAGGUACAGAACCUGAUGAUUGUGCUUAUUCCAUCUACUUUUUGGCUGGCAUGAUUGAUGAUGGGAGGGAUUCUUUGUUUCUGUUGUAAAUAAGGGGCGUAAACGUAAUGUUGUCAGCAAUAAUUCUUUGAUAAAUGGGUACUGCAAAAAUCGGAAGGUAGAUGAAGCUAUGCGCCUUUAAAGGGAAAUGCGUGAUGAAGGGAUUAGACCAAUAAUUAUCAAAUACAAUACUUUGCAGGUAAGGUUUGAAAUGCUCUGAAGCUGCGACUUCAUGACCUGGUACCUAAUGUGACGACAUAUAAUGUUUAUCUGGAUGGGCUUUGCAAGAACAAUUGUUUUUCAGAGGCAGUGAGCCUGUUUCAUAGUUUAGAAAAUUGUAAGUUUGAAUCGAGCAUUGAAAUCCUUAACUGCCUUAUUAAUUGCUUAUGCAAAAUAGGGAAGCUUGCAACUGCUUGGGACCUAUUUUACAGAAUGCCUAAUAAAGGUUUAAAGCCUGCUGUUGUAACAUACGCUAUCAUGAUACAUGGACUUUGUACAGAAGGCCAAAUGGAAAGGGCCAAGGACCUGUUAGUGGAGUUGGAGGACAAAAGUUGUACUCCAAAUGUGGUCAGGUCACCUUUAAUACACUCAUGCUGGUUUCUUCCAAAAUAAUGAGACAUGAAAGGUAGCCGAAUUUCUUCAUAAGAUGAAAGCAAGAAACCUGUCACCAGAUGCAUCCACAGUCUUAAAAGUGAUGGAUGCAUCCACAGUCUUAAAAGUGAUGGACUUACUCUCAAAGGAUGAAAACUACCAUGGAUGUGUAAAAUUGCUUCCUUCAUUUACUACUCAAGAGCUAAUACAGAAGUUGACAUGAUUAAUGCUAGUUGUCAUUUGGCUGAAGAAAACUUUAGUAGACUUACAGAACCAUGGCCUGCCGCUGCCGUUCCAUCUGAUUGAAUUAUUUGUGAAAGCUUCCAUGAUGGGGUAAAUUUGGUGAAGUUUAUCAGAGAGGAAUUUGAACUAUUGAGGCGCGGCUUCAAGUUCUGAUUUAUAUCAUGGCUGGCACUGAAUCCCUUGAACUGAGAUGUUUAAUCAUAACAGAAGUUGAAGCCUGGACAUGCACAGCUGGCAUUUCUUCUUUACACCACAAAUUUUUAGAUGGAGUAAGUAUCAUGCUAGUUUGAGGUAGGUCACAGACCUUUCAAGCUUGGGGAUUUUGCAAUAAUCUAUAAUGUUGCUGGAAAUCAAUUUUCUUCUUACCAAAAAUAAUCGCUUGGCAACAUGAACAGAUGCAUGGAGAUGCUAACAACCACUGUACCUCUUAUGCCACGUGACAUCAACUAUGUCAGUGAAUAUGAGUGCAUUUUGAUGAGAAUUUUUGGAGCAUUCAGACAGAGCUCACUGAAAACACCAAGGAGUAAAAAAUGUUGCUUUUGAAGGAUGCAUUUUAAUCACAUGGCAUUAUUAAGUGAUUUAUUGAUCGUUGGAUUAUUGGGCUGUUGAUUACCAAUUCUGCAACUGAUUCUUGAAUUGCAUUUUUUUACACCACUCUGGCUAGUUGUAAAAAUCACACAUAAUACUUCUAUAAGACAGUGAUUUCUUCAUGCUGAGAGGUUAUUGUUAGAUUUUACUGUUAGACGGUGUUGGCUCUGAUAUGUCAAAUUCAUGAAGAAAUUCAAGAGAGAGUUUCUACAAGUUAUCGGAGCAUCAAUUGAUGUUUUGGUCUGGUUGAAGCUGGUAACAGGGAGCAGUAACAGAGAAUGAACACACGUACAUGUCACUCCAUUGGAUUAUGCAACUCUCUAUAUAGUCAUUGGAAUUUGUUUGGUUCCAAGGAGAUAUCGUUUGGAUUUAGCUUACGAUCCUAUGUGAAGCUACAAUCCUAUAUUGGAUAGGAGUAAGAGAGAUCCUUUUCAUACAAGGACUUGAGGAGAGAACUAUUAGUAACGUGGAGUUUAAGUUUUUGGACCAUGGGAGGAUGAGAUCAUGUUAUAAGGUCAUGUUAGGCAACUCAUCAUACAUCAAACGGGGGAUGUUUUGAAGGACCACGAUUAUCAAAAGUCGACCUUUGAUGGUGUCCCCUCUUCUUCUUUUUCAUGUGAUGCAUGAUUCCCAGUUAACCACACUUUUUUGGAUUAGGUAUAACGAUUUUGGUGGUCAGUCUCUUAUUUGAAUAUUAUUCAGUGCACUGUAUGGUGAUUGCUGAGCGUAGAAAUACCAACUCAUGUUACAGGAGAGGGGGAACUGUUAGAAAAUUAUUCAGUUUUGGUUUCGAGAGUGACACCAAUGGAAGAGUAAUGAAGUGAAACUUGGGACUUAUUCCAACCCGAAACAGUUGGCACCUCUUGACAACGAACAGGAGAUGGAUUGGUGGUGUUCACACAUGUUAAGCUCACAUGAGAAGGUAACAGUUUUCUUUCAAGUUAUUCUGAUGGGAUGAAAAUUGGCAACACAAGGGGACAUGCAAAAUCUUCAAAAGAAUCUGAGCCUAACCUGCUUGCCUAACUGCCUAUAUCCCUCUCUUCCUUUCCCACUCUCUUUCCAAUGAAUUUUGGAUCCAAAUCAUUUAAAGACCUUUUCUUGUCAUUUCAGGAAUUAAAGUUGUUCUGACAAUGAUCACAAAAGUAGCAUUUAAUAAUCAGAUGCCAGUAUACAUGACCCACAUCCUCGAAUAUUUCCCCCCACUACCUUCCCUCACGGUUGUGCUUGGCAUGCUAGCUGAAUUCAGUAUUCUCUGAUCUAGGUUUAUGCUUGGAUGAUCAGCUGAGAAAAAACCAUGAAUCCUUGAGUAAGUUUUUGGAAUACGAAUUAGAUCACAAGAGUUCAUGCUGUUUCAAUGGGAGGAAUUUACUAUUGUACCGACCAGAGAGGAAUGGUAAUUGCCUUUACAUCUGGCCUCUCUACCUGCUUCGUGAAGUUGCAUGUUCACUACGUACGUGACAAAAUCAAUCCCGAGGGCCCUGUAGAUUUUUUCUCCAUGAUUGCCUGUUGCCAACCUUUUGCCGAAAUUAUUCAAGGCCUUACAAGACAACUCUCUCUCUCUCCCUCUAUAUAUAUAUAUAUAUAUAUAUAUAUAAAUGGAAGCCAAGAUGUUGGAUAUGCACCUUAGUGCUUACGAGGUUAGAGUUGCAUUAAUCAUGGAAUGAUAAUUCUGUUUUAUGGUAGAUUUUGUUCUAAAUGAAGAUGAUUUGGGGAAGCCGAUCGAGCUCUCCAGUGGGUCUCCUAGAUAUGUGAUCGUGUUGCCCUAAAGUCUCUAUCUUUUUCCAUGAAAAAAAAAAGUCACUAGUUUGAAUGGUUUCUUGUGUUAGUUGUUGAAUGCUUUUUCAAGCAUCAUUGCACCCAAGUCAAAAAAGGAGUAAGAGAAUUGUUACUCCGUUUAUCACUUUAAGAUGCAAGUCACGUGACAUUGCGUCUUUGCCUAAACUAAGUCACAUUUAAAGAUUUUGUCCAUAUCCAUGUAUAAUGCUAAAAUCAUAAGAAUUAAUAAUUACUCCAUUGAUUGAACACUUGAUGUAGUGUCUUUUGAAGUGUUUUUUUUUAAUCUUUAUAUAUAUUAAAAUUAUUUUUUUU